rnacentral:rRNA from 1 species
UACAGAGGUCCCGAGCGUUGUUCGGAUUCACUGGGCGUAAAGGGCGCGUAGGCGGCGCAACAAGUCACUUGUGAAAUCUCCGGGCUUAACCCGGAGCGGCCAAGUGAUACUGUCGUGCUAGAGUGCGGAAGGGGCUACUGGAAUUCUCGGUGUAGCGGUGAAAUGCGUAGAUAUCGAGAGGAACACCUGCGGCGAAGGCGGGUAGCUGGGCCGACACUGACGCUGAGGCGCGAAAGCCAGGGGAGCGAACGGG